GAAGAUAGUUGGUCGCAUGGUCCUGGAUGGCUGAUGAUGCUCACCCAGUCACCCUGUUGCCUAAAAGUGCAAUCUUAUUCCCAGUUUAUUGGAAACCAUGUGCACCACUAGGAUCUGAAUGUCGUCUCACUGCUUUGCAGGUUUUAUAUGGGCUGCAGCCGCACUACACGAGAAGGCAGACCGUGAGUUCUCAGUCGGAACACUUCAGCAUGUGGCGUUGCAUCUCCGUGGGGAUGGCGAGAUGAUAAAUGAUGGACACUCCCCAAUUUGAUACUGGUUGUGGCAUUGCUCUGUCCGUUGGCUGCAUCUCAAGAACGCAUGUUGCCUGUGCAUCCGCGACAAGGAGAUGGUGUGCGGAUGGCUGCAUCGUCGUGAAUGGUGGAUGGCUUGAAAGGAGUGAGGUGGAGCGACAUGACCGACCAUGCUAAAAUCCUCUUGUGUUUCCAUAAGCACUCAUCCAGCAGAUGCUGAAAUCCAUGGAACAUCUAGAUACAGAUACUCGUGUGAGGUGCAUCACAUAUUUUCUUCUGUUAUUGUCCGAGGUCCAAGCCAUCACAGGGGUGAUUCAGAAUACCUAUAUGAAACAAAAAUGUGGCAGUCUCGAGCUACAUCAGUAUUUGCAUGAGCUACUGCUCUACUUGAUAAGUUAAGGAGAGAUAAAUAGUUUUUAUUUUCAGAUAAUCCUGGAAAUACAGUGCACGGUAACGGAAUAGAAAGAAACAUGCAAGAGGAGGAUAAUAAACAUGUUUGGGCCUGGAAAAGUCCGGAAUAUUUUCAAAAUUGGUCUUCUUCUUUAUUGAUCGAUGGGCAACACUAGCUAAUUCUGCAGAGGAAACCAAGAUCGUCCCUCUGACUCAAGAUCAAACAAAUCAAUUGUUUUCUGCAUUCUGGAUACAAGCAACUCAGACUGAUAAUUGUAUGUUCAAUUAUGAGGCGAUUGGCCAUUCAUACAGUCUCACUGUUCUUUCUUCCCAUCUUAAGUCAUCGAGCACUUGAAAGAAGGCAUGGGCGCAACAAAUAGGGCAGCAUAUUGCUUCUUUAAUCCAAGCAAAAUACCAAAUAACACUAGGUUUUCAUUGCUUUCGUAGCACCAAGGUUGUUUGAAGAGCCAACCGAGAAAAAAAAGGUUCAAUCCUUUAUCUUAGAUAAACCCUUCCCUUGAAGUAAUGAAGUAUUCCUUAUGAUUUGAUGUGGCUGCUAUUGUGAAUCAGUUCUAUCCAUAGGAAGGAUAAACCAUAAAGUUGGCAUUGUUUCUUUUGAAACUGCUACUGGAUUGCUGGGAAACAUAUUAGCUUUGAUCAAAUUAAGUUCUUAUGUUAGCAUGUUUUCAUCAGAAUAUUUGAGUUGGAGUCAUCAUUUGCCUCCCAAUUGGUGUGAAUUGUAGAGUUGGAAGUAAUUGCUAUUUAUUGGUUAUAAGUUCAUAUUUUAUUGUGUUAUAUUCAGAUUCAUUUAAGUUUGGUUUCCAAGCCCAUUGCAUUCAUCCUUCUUCCUGCUUUUUCUCCAAGUGCUAAUCAACCAAAAGUCCAAAACCUCAUUACCCACCCACUGGUUUACAAAGCAAUAAGCCUAAAAAGUCACCCUUUGGAAAGUUGGGCAUUGUUCAUCAAAACACGCCCCCUAUCUCAGUUCUUAUACUUGGUCUCAUUUUAGUCUGUACCUCAAAACCGCAGUGUUUCUAGUAACCAUAUGAAGCAUAAGAACCGUAGUGUUUCUGUCAACCAUAUGAACCAUCUCCGCCGUUGCAUGAACCCGGAUAUGUAGAGAAACACAAAAAACCUACGAGGUACUAUCAACCUAUCUGUUAACCCAUAUAUCUAUACAUAUCCUGUUCUAGAAGUACAUGUGUCCACUAAGAUAUUCUCAAUGCAAUUGUUUUGUAGCCUGUCUGCCGUCAUGAUAACCAACUAGAACGGCUUUUCAUUGCCUUUUACCUACAUAAAAUUCAUGUGUCCUAGAUAAACACUACAAUAUAUUUGAACUUCCUUACCCCAUGCUAUGCUAUGUAGUGGGGUCUUCUGUUACAUUGUUUAUUCUUUUGUCCCCCAUUCUUGGGUCCUUGUUAUGGGAUGUGUCAAACAUCACAGGCUGACAGAAAAUGUUUGGAUGUACUUAUCCAGUAGAGAGGCCACCCCUCAUCUUAUUAUGUGGACUAUUAUUGUACAAACAUGCACUGAUCAUUAUGCAUAAUAUGCUCUCCCUGUUAACUCAGCUACGGCAUGUUUUAUUUGGCUAUGGCAUGUUGAAGUUAUUCCUAUUUGUUGGUUUCAGUAUGUUAGAUUCAUUUGCUUCUGAUUUCAUCCAUCGUUUCGACUACAAGAUAUGUACCGGAAACACUCGGUCCACCACUUUCGGUCUAUACCUACCUUAGUGCGUGGCAAGCCUUGAUUUAUAUUACAAGGGUCCUUUUGAUCUACAGAAAGCAGAAUACUUAGUUACUCUCAAACAAUUCUAUCUUUCAAGUAGCUUUUGUACCUUCUAAUAAUGGAUUCAGAUUCUAUCAUAUAUACCUACUCUUAAUUGUUUUAGUAACUGGAUAUUGCCACUGCUUACUACCCACUUGAGUUGAGCUACUCCUAGAUAUGGUCAUAGUAAUUUGUUGAGGGCACCCAAAUAAGUAUCUGCAGUUAAUCAGUCCUAAAGGAAACUAACCUGUCUAUUUGGUAAUGUAAACUGGUUCAGGUUGCACAAGCAUUCCAUUGAAAUGAAGGAGUGUGCUUGUUUUUACAGAUACAAGAUGCUACUCAUAUUUGUGAUUUUUUUCUCUUUGGAUAAUGGUUGAUGAUAGCUCAGUUUUUUUGGAAAGUCAUAUGUAAGCUCGGUGGUCGGCGACCACCAAUAAUUGACUCCAUGUCGGUUUAUUUCCAAAGCUACUACAGAUUUUGAUUCCUCGAUAGAAUUAGAAACUCAAUCAUUUCCCAUCGAUGAUAUGCCACUUUGUCGUUAUUUGUGCAACUUGUACAACAUCGAAAGAAAGCUAUAAUCAAUGCAUAAAUGACCAACCGUUCUGCUUCUGGAAAUUUUGUUUCCUAGAAAGAAAUUAUCUGUGCUAGCUCGUCACUUCAGCCGGAAUAUGCUACUCAGUUAUUAUUUGCACCAGCGCUGGCCAUUAACAAGAAAGCUAUAUUUUCAUCUGAACUAUAGGUCCUUUGUACUCGUAUUAUUUUGUUGUAGCCUUUUAAAUAUCCGUUCCUACAGGUUAGCAGGCUGCUGGAGUCGUUCCACCUAACACAGAUGCAAAUCAUGGAGACAACAAAAAGCUUACUAUGAAGUGUUCUACAAAACGUUUAUCAGUUAGGAAUGUAUGGGGUUUGCGCUGCAAGGCACACUUCUAAAUGAAGUGUUCUACAUGUGCUUAUUUAUUUGACCCCGAGUUCUCUGAAGAUGACUAGCUGCUAGAGUCAGAUGAAGAAGAAGCGAAUAUUUGAAGCGUGAGGCCCUAGAUUAUUUCUCUGAUGGAUGUCUUAUAGACGGUAUAGCUAAUUGUGUUGUUUACAAUGGUGCAUUGUGAUUGUAUGGCUGGAUUAUUUAUUUCUUAGGUUAUCUAUAGGUGUUAGUGAUUGAUAUAUCAUGUGGUCAAGUUUCCAUUCAUUGAUUAGAAUAGAUUGUAUUAGUUCCCCAGUAUAACCUUCCUUGUAAUGGGAUAAUUAUGUUUAGCAUGGUUCUUUAUUUGAUAUUGCAAAGUCGCAUAGUUUUUGUAUUCAACUUGAAACAAGGUAACCUUGACCAAUGGUUUUAGGCCUUGUGCUUAUAUAUUGAAGAGAUUAUUCCUUUCCUUGAAUAGAAGGGGCUUUUAUUGAAAAUACCAAAGCUCUUUGAAGUCUACUUGGCACAGGUUUUUAUUUUCAAAGCUAAUUUUUAUAGUGUACUGCAGUUCAUAAGCUACUUUCGUAAAACUAAAAAAGUGCAAUCAUAUCUUAUGCAAAAUAAAUAUCGGCAUGAGCUUGACGGGAUCAUGCGCCAAAGCGCACUUCUAAGAUUUGUUAUUAUAUUUAUUUAGGAUGGAAGAAUUAACUCCUUUCUAGACCCCUUUAUACAUAACAGGAAAAUAUGUAUGGGCCUGAGAUAUGUGUUAUCGAAUGAGUGUCAAAUUCCAGCAUCAUAGUUUCGUUGACCUGCCAUAAAACUAUUUCUUAGAAAAUGUGUUCCUAAUUGUCAAGUAGCAAGGUUUGUAUCUCCAGUAUGCAUUAAAGCAUGGCCCCGUACCUUUGUUUGUGAGCUUUUGUUUUGUAGCCAAGUGGUUUAUUUAGAAAUAUAUAUAGUGGGCUUUGUAGUUUCCAUAUUACAAUCUAAUAAUUAUGUGAAGGUUUUACAUUAACACAGUUUGUAUCAUUGUUCUUUGUGAUAUGUAGUGCCAUGGUCUCCGGUUCAGAUGAUAAGAGCAUGGAUUGAAUGACUGGCUCAUUCAUCAAUAUGUGCAGAAAGAUGAUAAAUACUCAGUUAUAUUUUGGGUUGCCUCCUUCAUCUGUUACGUAGAUUGGUUGGUUUGAGUCUAUUCUUACAUUUGUUUUUUUGCAAACUGCCUAAGGUUUUAGUUGCUGUAACUAAAAGGGAGUUGAUAGUUGUGUUUGAUGUUUUCUUCGGAUUAUAAUUAAGUGCAUAGCUUAA